rnacentral:rRNA from 1 species
UACCAGCACCCCGAGUGGUCGGGACGUUUAUUGGGCCUAAAGCAUCCGUAGCCGGUUCUACAAGUCUUCCGUUAAAUCCAGCUGCUUAACAGAUGGGCUGCGGAAGAUACUAUGGAGCUAGGAGGCGGGAGAGGCAAGCGGUACUCGAUGGGUAGGGGGUAAAAUCCGUUGAUCCAUUGAAGACCACCAGUGGCGAAGGCGGCUUGCCAGAACGCGCUCGACGGUGAGGGAUGAAAGCUGGGGGAGCAAACAGG